rnacentral:rRNA from 1 species
UACGUAGGGGGCGAGCGUUGUCCGGAGUUACUGGGCGUAAAGCGCCCGCAGGCGGUCGCGUCAGUUUGGGGUGACAGCUCCCUGGCUUAACCGGGAGAGGACCUCGAAGACGGCGCGACUGGAGGGCCAGAGAGGGACAUGGAACUCCGGGUGGAGCGGUGAAAUGCGUAGAGAUCCGGAAGAACACCGAAGGCGAAGGCAGUGUCCUGGCUGGCACCUGACGCUCGGGGGCGAAAGCGAGGGGAGCGAACGGG